GGAUAAUUUUCCAUAUUCAUGAGAAAUAGUAUAAAUAUUUGAUUUGUUAAUAUGAAUUGAAUCAUGCUUCUUGAUAAUAUAUAUGUUGAUUAUUAUCCUUGUUUUGAUAAAGCAUGAUCAAUUGUUGAAUCCGAAUUCUUGAUAUGAACCAGUAUAUAUUUUGAAUUGAAUUCUGAAUUGAUAGGUCCUCAUUUGAUUGAUGUCAUGAGUUGAGCCUUGAGAUAUGAAUAUGUCUGUUUGAUUAUGAUUAUGAACCUAUGGUAUGUCAGUCAGAAUACCCAUGCUAACAGGGUAGUGUUAGUCUUUGUGCACAUCGUAUCUGAACCCUAGUUGGUCGGGGGAGUCACCAACCUGUGUGGACUGAUCAUCCCACAGUACGGAGCCUCAUGCUCAUUGCAUUUUGAUUUUCUGACGAACUUUACCAUUUGAUCUUCUUGUUAUGGCCUAUUUGAGAAACCUUUCUAUAAGAACCUAGAGCCAUACUUGUAUAUAUAUUUCUCAUUGCUGUAUUACCUCGUGAGUGGAUAAUUUUCCAUAUUCAUGAGAAAUAGUAUAAAUAUUUGAUUUGUUAAUAUGAAUUGAAUCAUGCUUCUUGAUAAUAUAUAUGUUGAUUAUUAUCCU